GAUGAACGCUAGCUACAGGCUUAACACAUGCAAGUCGAGGGGAAACGAUGAGAGAGCUUGCUCUCUUAGUCGUCGACCGGCGCACGGGUGAGUAACGCGUAUCCAACCUGCCUCUGACCAAGGGAUAACCCGUCGAAAGUCGGACUAAUACCUUAUGCAGUCGUCGGAAGUCAUCUGAUGACGACGAAAGAUUUCAUCGGUGAGAGAUGGGGAUGCGUCUGAUUAGCUUGUUGGCGGGGUAACGGCCCACCAAGGCGACGAUCAGUAGGGGUUCUGAGAGGAAGGUCCCCCACAUUGGAACUGAGACACGGUCCAAACUCCUACGGGAGGCAGCAGUGAGGAAUAUUGGUGAAUGGGCGUAAGCCUGAACCAGCCAAGUAGCGUGCAGGAUGACGGCCCUAUGGGUUGUAAACUGCUUUUAGGCGGGGAUAAAGUGAGGGACGUGUCCCUCAUUGCAGGUACCGCAUGAAUAAGGACCGGCUAAUUCCGUG
rnacentral:rRNA from 1 species